AUUCCUUUGUGGUUGAGGUCUUCUGCUACUGCUCCUGGCCUUUGCUUUUUCACGAUGGAAGGAGUGGGACCCUGACCUGUGUGCUUACAGAAAGGUGAAGGAAAAGAAAGAGGGAGAAACCAAAGGAGGAGCAGCUGAUCAAGACUUCACACGUCCUGCUCAUUAUCCUCGCUUCACACAAGAGGAAGCGGGAAGGAUUGAUAGCACCCAAUUUUGUACAAGUGUUGCCCGAAGUGAAAUACCCGGCCAUGUCUGCUCCUGCAACACUGCAGCUGUGCCAUGUCUGAGGCUGUGAGAGGAGAGACUUUAUAGGGCCUGAUAAAACCUUUUAUUAGACCCACAGAUCCAGCUGGAAUAGGCAGACAGGUUUUAGCUGCGUAGACCUGAAGAUGUGCCUAUGGGCUCUCAGGACCCUGCAUGCCUUCCCCAUCGCUAGAGCUGCUCCAGGCCAGGUUGGGCAACCUGAUGUGGUGAUUGGCAUCUAGCCCACAGCAGAUGAAAUAGCAGAGAUGGGGGAGAGCUGCAGUGCCUGCAGGUGGCAGGAAUGCCACAAACCAGGAGAAAGCUGGGGUUUGGUUGUCAUCAGAAGAGGAUCUCGUGCACAGUGUAAGACAUCGGACAGUACAGGUGAUGCAUGGCGCAGGUUGCCAGCCCAGGCUGCUCAGAGCUCCCAUUUAAGGCAGCAGUGCUAGGUUGUAUUCUGACCUACACCCUUAUGCACCAUCCACCAGUGCUGCAUCCCACCCACCCUGCUGGCUGAUGCUGAAAGGAAGAAGGCAUGUUCCCAAGGGCUGGCAUCUCUUCAAAUCAGGGACUCCAGAAACCAUUGCCUCAUUGAAGAAAUCGCCAUCGUUCUUCUAAAUGGUUGGGUCAAUAUGAGGAUGUCACUUCUGAAAUUUGGGGUUUAUUGCUCCCCUUCCCACCUUCAACCCACUGGGAAUAAGCGAAGCAGGCAGGUAGAUCUUCACUAAGAGAGCUGCUGCAGUGGAGGUCAGGAGUGUGCAUGGAAAGGUGAAAAGCCCAUCGAGGUGGGGAGUGGAGACAUGGGGGGCUGUGCUCCAUACACACAGGGCUUCCAGGUCUGAAACACCUUGAGAAGAAAAAGGUGAAUGGGGAAAAUCAGAGCUGAGGGAAACAGGCAUGAAAGCUGAGCCUGAAGAUGGAGGAGUUCAACAGGGCUGGUCCCAGUAAUGAUCCCUGAGGGACACCAGUGCCGUUGAUCUCCAUCCAUUGAGCGCUGCUCUCUGGUGGAAUCUCACAACAGUUCCUCAUCCAUUGAACAGUCUGCCCAUCAAAGCUGCACUUUUCCAAGUUAGAGAGAAGGAUGUUGUUGGGGCUGUGCCAAAUGCCUCACUGGAGCCCAAGCAGAUGACAUCAGUGGCUCUUCCAUUGCCCGUGGACACAGUUAUCCCAUCUGGUUGGAAAUUUUGGUUUCAAAUACUUCAAAUUGAACAUUUGGAGUUUUCAUACCAAGAUGACAGUUUUGGUCCAAA